CCUUCAGGAUUCGCUAGUACGGCGAGUGAAGAGGGAAGAGCCCAAGAUUGAAAGCUGGCGUCUUCGGCGUCCGCAUUGUAAUCUCAAGAAGUGUUUUCCGCUUCGGACCAUGCCUAAGUCCCUUGGAAAAGGGCAUCAUAGAGGGUGAUAAUCCCGUUCAUGGCAUGGAGCGCCCGAAGCUUUGUGAUACGCUUUCUAAGAGUCGAGUUGUUUGGGAAUGCAGCUCAAAAUGGGUGGUAAAUGCCAUCUAAGGCUAAAUAUUGGGGAGAGACCGAUAGCGAACAAGUACAGUGAUGGAAAGAUGAAAAGAACUUUGAAAAGAGAGUUAAACAGUACGUGAAAUUGCCAAAAGGGAAGGGUAGGAGGUCAGAGAUGCGUCUUGGAAUUCAGCCUUGCUUCUGCUUGGUGUUUUUUCCAUUUUGCAGGCCAACGUCGGUUUUGGGCACUGGAGAAGGGUGGAAGGAACGUGGCACCUCUCGGGGUGUGUUAUAGCCUUCUACUGGAUACAGCGACCGAGACCGAGGACAGCAGCGUACUCGCAAGAGCGGGCCUUCGGGCACCUUUACGCUUAGGGCGUUGGCAUAAUGGCCCUCUACCACCCGUCUGAA
rnacentral:rRNA from 1 species